rnacentral:rRNA from 1 species
CCAAGACUGAAAGGGCACAUGAUGGAUGCCUUGGCAUUGAGAGGCGAUGAAGGACGCGAGAACCUGCGAUAAGCCGAGAGGAGCCGGUAACUAGGCUGUGAUCCUCGGAUCUCCGAAUGGGGCAACCCCACCGAAUGGUGACUCCGGUCUGAAUGCAUAGGACCGGCAGAGCGAACGCAGCGAACUGAAACAUCUAAGUAGCUGUAGGAAAGGAAAGCAACAGCGACUCCGCAAGUAGCGCCGAGCGAACGCGGACCUAAGCGGGAAACGUACGAACGACCUGGAAAGGUCGACCACAGAAGGUGAUAGUCCUGUACGACGGGAACCGUGAAUGGCUUCAAGUAGAGUCAGGCUCGAGAAACCUGGCUUGAACAUGGGGGGACCACCCUCCAAGCCUGAGUACUCCUCAAUGACCGAUAGUGAACCAGUAAGGCGACUGAACGGUGAAAAGCACCCCGACAAGGGGAGUGAAAUAGCACCUGAAAUCAUGUGCUUACACAGCGGUCACGGCCCGCAAGGGUUGUGGCGUGCCUUUUGCAUAAUGAUCUGGCGAGUUACUGUCUGCGGCAAGGGUAAGCCUUAUCCAGGCGCACCCGAAGCGAAAGCGAGUCUUAAAAGGGCGUCAAGUUGCAGGCGGUAGGCGCGAAACCGGUUGAUCUACCCAUGGGCAGGUUGAAGAGAGGGUAAAACCUCUUGGAGGACCGAAGCCGUGAACGUUGAAAAGUUCUGGCAUGACCUGUGGGGAGGGCUUAAAGUGCAAUCAUAACCGGAGAUAUCUCGUUCUCUCCGAAAUAGUUUUUGGACUAGCCUCAGCAUGUCAGUGCACGGGGGUAGAGCUACUGAAUGGGGUCUGGGGGCCUACCCGGCUACCCGCCCCAAUCAAACUCCGAAUACCGUGUACGUAGCGCUGGGAGUAAGACUACGAGGGAUAAUCUUCGUGGUCAAAAGGGAAACAACCCGGACCAUCGGCUAAGGUCCCUAAGUAAUGCUCAGUUGAAAAGGUAGUCAGAAUGCAGUGACAGCCAGGAUGUUGGCUUAGAAGCAGCCACCAUUUAAAAAGUGCGUAACAGCUUACUGGUCGAGGAUUCUGGCGCCGAUAAUUAUCGGGGAUAAGCAUUACACCGAAGCCGUGGGACUCGUAUGAGUCGGUAGGAGAGCGUUGCUGUCAGCGUCGAAGUUUUCCCGUAAGGGUUGAUGGAGCGGCAGCAAGUGAAUAUGCCAGAUUGAGUAACGAUUAAUGCAGUGAGAAUCUGCAUCCCCGUAUGCCCAAGGUUUCCUGGGGAAGGUAAUUCCGCCCAGGGUUAGUCGGAGCCUAAGGCAAGGCCGAAAGGCGUAGUCGAUGGACAGCUGGUUAAUAUUCCAGCACCCUCGUGUAGGUUGAUGGCAGGUGACGGAUUUCCAUAUCUCAACGGGACAGUGAAGCGUCCAGGCCUUAUGGCCGGUGUUGGGUGAGGAAGUCUCAAGAAAAGCCCUGCCGGACGUUUACGAGGUCCGUACCAAAACUGACACAGGUGGGCGUGGCGAAUAGCCUCAGGGGCUCGAGAAAACGGUCCUGAAGGAACUAGGCAAUUUGACCCCGUAAGUUCGCGAUAAGGGGGCCCUACUCGCAAGAGAGGGCGCAGAGAAAAGGCUCUGGGAACUGUUUAUCAAAAACACAGCACUGUGCUAACUCGCAAGAGGAUGUAUACAGUGUGACGCUUGCCCGGUGCCGGAACGUCAAGGGAGCUGGUUAGCGCAAGCGAAGCUAGCGACCGAAGCGCCGGUAAACGGCGGCCGUAACUCUGACGGUCCUAAGGUAGCGAAGUUCCUUGUCGGGUAAGUUCCGACGCGCAUGAAUAGCGUAAUCACUGGAGCACUGUCUCCAGGACCGACUCGGUGAAAUAGUAGUGGCGGUGAAGAUGCCGCCUACCCGCAGCAAGACGGAAAGACCCCGUGGACCUUUACUGUACGCUUGCAGUGGUCAUGGAUUUGUUCUGCGUAGCAUAGGUGGGAAGUUUUGGCACCGGUGCGCUAUUAUUUGUUGCCGGGUUCAGUUAUUUUAUAUGGAGAUUUAAUCCAAGUUUUCAUGUGCCUAAUUUAAAUUUUUUACUUCCCAAAAAAAAGGAAGAAGAAUUUGUGAGUCAGGACGAUGAAGAAGCGGUUAAGCAAGAAUGGGAUUUAAACGAAGGGGCUGCAUUACAAAAUGCUGGGGGAAAUAAAUUAAAAGAAAACAAGGAUGCGCAGGGCAAUUUAAUCCCAGCAGAUAUUACAGAAGGCGGGAAACUUUUUAUAGACAAAUCUAUUUCAGAGGAAGUACAAAAUACAACCAUCGCCGAACUUGAGCCAAUAUUAAUGGAGGAAGAAGAUGAUAUUGAAAUCGCACAACCUGUUGUAGAAAUGGUGCCAACUAAAAAGAAUAUUGAGGAAUUUGAUGGGGAAUUGCUAGCGGAUUUAGAUUUAGAAAUUAAAGAUGUGGCCAAAGAAGAAGUAAUCCCGGUUGGAAGUAUCAAUACCAAAUACGAUGUAACGCUUGAUUUAAAAAAUUAUAAAUUUCCAAAUAUUAAUUUACUUGAGACACAUGGUAGUGAGAAGAUUGUGCAAGAUCCGGAAGAAUUAGAACUCCAUAAAAAUCAAAUUAUCGCGACGCUCAAAAAUUACGAUAUUGCGAUACAGCGAAUAGCGGCUACUGUCGGGCCUACAGUUACUUUAUAUGAAAUUGUUCCAGCACCAGGUGUAAGAAUUAGUCGUAUUAAAAAUUUAGAGGAUGAUAUU